rnacentral:lncRNA from 1 species
UGGUUCUGCUCAGCUGCCCCUCCAGCCCAGACUAAUCCACAGCGCAGCACAUUAACACACACACACUCAAUUCACCAUCACUCUCUCCCUCUCUCUCUCCUUCUCUCUCUCCCUCUCUCUCACUCCCUUUCUCUUCCUCUCUCUUCCUCUCUCCCUCUCUCUCACUCCCUUUCUCUUCCUCUCUCUCUCCCUCUCUCUCACUCCCUUUCUCUUCCUCUCUCUCCCUCUCUCUCAGUCCCUUUCUCUUCCUCUCUCUCCCUCUCUCUCUCCCUCUCUCUCACUCCCUUUCUCUUCCUCUCUCUUCCUCUCUCCCUCUCUCUCACUCCCUUUCUCUUCCUCUCUCUUCCUCUCUCCCUCUCUCUCACUCCCUUUCUCUUCCUCUCUCUCUCCCUCUCUCUCACUCCCUUUCUCUUCCUCUCUCUCCCUCUCUCUCACUCCCUUUCUCUUCCUCUCUCUCUCCCUCUCUCUCACUCCCUUUCUCUUCCUCUCUCUCCCUCUCUCUCUCCCUCUCUCUCACUCCCUUUCUCUUCCUCUCUCUCUCCCUCUCUCCCUUUCUCCCUCUCUCUCUCAAACUCUCUCCCUUUCUCUCUGUCUCUCUCCCUCUCUCUCUCCCUCUCUCUCUCUCUCCCUCUCUCUAUCUCUCUCUUUUACUCUCUCCCUUUCUACCUCUCUCCCUCUCUCCCUCUCUCUCACUCUCUCCCUUUCUCUCUCUCUCUCUCAUUCUUUCUCUCUUUCACUCUCCUUCUUUCUCAUUCCCUCUUUCUCUUUUGCUUUCUCUGUUGUUACCCCUGUUCUAUCCUUCAAUUUCUACCCCAUUUCUUAUAUGCCCUCCUUUCAGGUUUUCUUUCUGUGUCACUCUCUCUCUUUCUCUCUCUCUCUCUCUCCCUCUCUCUCUCUCUCCCCCUCUCUCUCUCUCUCUCUCUCUGAGGUCUCCUCAUACUGUUUCUAUUGGUGUUCGUUUCUUACUUGUUGUGUCUCUUUUACUGUGUGUCCCUUGUUGUGUGUCUCCCUCACUUUACCCAUUCCUGUCCUUUCUCUCUCCAUUGGGAGUCUGGUUUCUCCCCAUUUCACACUGUCUUACCAUAGCUAUCUCUCUCUCUCACACACAAACAUUCCCCCUCUCUCUCUCUCUCUCUCUCUCUCUCACACACACACACACACACACACACACACACACACACACACACACUCACACAAACACACUUCAUCCUAUCUUUUGUAACUGCCCCUCUGUCUUUGUCUCAUUUUAUCUUAUCCCCUCUUUCCUUGUCUCUCUCAUCCUCUGGCCCUACAAUCCAUUCCCUCUCUCUCUCUCUCUCUCUCUCUCUCUCUCUCUCUCUCUCCCUCUCCCUGUCUCUCUCUCUCUCUCUCUCUUUCCUCUUCAUCUGCUUUCUUCCCUAUACUAUUCCUCUCUCUCUCUCUCUCUCUCUCUCUCUCUCUCUAUAAGUCACGUCUUGUCCUGUAUCUUGCCAUUUUCAUCGUAUGACAUCAUCGCAUACCUAUACCCCUGCCACUCCCAUCUCUCCCGUCUCUCCCAAAC